UAAAUAGGAAAUAGCAUAAAGCAUAAUAUUGUUGGAUCUAUGAUGAUUCUUUUUAUCCAUCUUUUGUUGCUCAUUCAUCUGGUUUCUUUCCAGUGUUACAACCUUAGUAUCCAAAUGAUGUGUGUAUCUAUUUGUAAUCAUAUGCCAUAGAUUUGCAUCAUAGCCAAGAAAGAAACUUUCUAUUAUGUAUUUCCAACAAUCAAAUUUAU
rnacentral:lncRNA from 1 species